rnacentral:lncRNA from 1 species
CAAUUCUUUCCAAAAUGGUAACAGAGUCAGAGGUCACAAGUUUCCAAACAUGGACUAAUCCUAAACAUUCAAGUGUCAUCCUUUCUAUGAAACAACUUUAUAAAAAUCCAACCUGUUCUGUAAAGUCAUCUGCUUUUGUGCCCCAUUACAUUCUGGGUAUAACAUAACACUGGGUCUUGUGCGUCCCAGGAAACUUCUGACUGACCCAGGAGAAAACUUUAUCCUGUUUUCUGCACCUUCCUUGAAGAUCACUCUUAAAAAUAUGUUUUGAAAACACCCAUUUUUGCAAAUACUAUUGAGCUAUUUCGACAGCACUGUAACUUAAGUUGCUAAAGGAAGGCUCCUGUCUGUGUUGUUCACACUGAAUCCCCUGGGCCUAGAACAAUGUCUGGUAUAUAAUAAGCAUUCAGUAAGUAUUUGAAUAAUAAAUAAACGAGUGCUAUUUUAAAUUCA